UAGAGUGCUCAAAGCGGGCUCAAAAUGCCGCUUGAAUAUUUCGUGCAUGGAAUAAUAGAAUAUGAUCUCGGUUCUAUUUUGUUGGUUUUCAGAACUCCGAGGUAAUGAUUAAUAGGGAUAACUGGGGGCAUUCGUAUUGCGACGUUAGAGGUGAAAUUCUUGGAUCGUCGCAAGACGAACAUCAGCGAAAGCAUUUGCCAAAGGUGUUUUCAUCAAUCAAGAACGAAAGUUAGAGGUUCGAAGGCGAUUAGAUACCGCCCUAGUUCUAACCGUAAAUAUGUCGUCUAGCGAUCCGCCGACGUUAAUACAAUGGCUCGGCGGGCAGCUUCCGGGAAACCAAAGAUUUUGGACUCCGGGGGGAGUAUGGUUGCAAAGCUGAAACUUAAAGGAAUUGACGGAAGGGCACCACCAGGAGUGGAGCCUGCGGCUUAAUUUGACUCAACACGGGAAAUCUCACCAGGCCCGGACACCGGAAGGAUUGACAGAUUAACAGCUUCUUUCUUGAUUCGGUGGGUGGUGGUGCAUGGCCGUUCUUAGUUGGUGGAGCGAUUUGUCUGGUUAAUUCCGGUAACGAACGAGACUCUAGCCUGCUAAAUAGGCGUCGUCAUUUAGGUGUGCGCGAUUUCGGUCGCGCAACUCACUGGCGACGUAUUAAAAUUCUUCUUAGAGGGACCGGCGUCUUCGAGCCGCACGAGAUUGAGCAAUAACAGGUCUGUGAUGCCCUUAGAUGUCCUGGGCCGCACGCGCGCUACACUGAAGGAAUCAGCAUGUUCCUCCCUGGCCUAGAGGCCCGGGCAACCCGUUGAAACUCCUUCGUGCUGGGGAUUGGGGUUUGCAAUUAUCCCCCAUAAACGAGGAAUUCCUAGUAAGCGCGAGUCAUAAGCUCGCGUUGAUUACGUCCCUGCCCUUUGUACACACCGCCCGUCGCUACUACCGAUUGAAUGAUUUAGUGAGGUCUUCGGACCGACACGCGGUGGCUUCACGGCCGUCGGCGUUGCUGGGAAGUUGACCAAACUUGAUCAUUUAGAGGAAGUAAAAGUCGUAACAAGGUUUCCGUAGGGGAACCUGCGGAAG
rnacentral:rRNA from 1 species